AAAGCCUAUCACGAACAAAACGUUUUAACCCCAAACUAAAAUAACCCAAAAAAAAAUCAAAAAUCAAAAACCAACUCAACAUCCCAAACCUACCCUAUGCCAUCAACCAUAAUAACUGCUUUACGACGAAACUCCAACGAAAUUUGUCCUACCGUACCAAAUGGUAGGCCCCCGCGGCCACUCUAUUUCCCAAAUAAAAUAAAAUAAAAUAAAAUAAAUAAAAACACCAACAACCACCACCGCCGGCGGCCUACCACCAUAUUUUCCGAUCAACCCCGCCUCCCAAUCGCCACCUUCCAUGUAACUAUACAUACAUAUACAUAAAAUAUACACACAUAAAUGAAUUUAUAGCAAUUCUUCUUCUUCUUCUUCUUCUUCUUCUUCACAAUCUCAACAAUGGCUUCAUUCAACGAUGAAGGACGCGAGAGGGACAUCGAGAUGGGACUGACCUCCGCCGCAAAACUCCCCUCCGAGCCACCAACGCCGUCGUCGAGGGCGGCACCGGCUCUAAUUUUAUCGAAUUCCGGCAAAGCACUUAGGGUUUCGACUUCUGGAAAAGCGCUUAGGGUUUCGACUUCUGGAAAAGCACUGGUCCUUUCGAAUUCGGGUAAGCGGAUGGACCAGUCGGGUUCGGGUAAGCGAAUGGAUCAACCGAAUUCGGCGAAGAAGAAGUAUGUGAAGCAGGUGACCGGAAGGCACAACGAUACGGAGCUCCACCUCGCGGCGCAGAGAGGUGACGUGGCGGCGGUGAAGCAGAUCCUCGGUGAGAUCGAUGCGCAAAUGGUGAAGACGCUGAGCGGGGCGGAGUUCGAUUCGGAGGUGGCGGAGAUUAGAGCGGCAAUUGUGAAUGAGGUGAAUGAGUUGGGGGAGACGGCGUUGUUCACGGCGGCGGAGAAGGGGCAUAUCAAUGUGGUGAGGGAGCUCCUGCCCUACACCACCAAGGAGGGGAUUAUGGCUAAGAAUCGGGUCGGGUUUGAUCCAUUUCAUGUUGCUGCAAGUCAAGGUCACCAUGCCAUUGUCCAGGUGCUAUUAAACCAUGACCCAAUGCUAAGCAAAACACUUGGCCAAUCGAAUGCAACCCCUCUUAUAUCUGCAGCUACAAGAGGCCAUUUAGCAGUGGUUAAUGAGUUACUGGCAAAAGAUUCCAGCUUGCUAGAGAUAUCGAAAUCCAAUGGAAAGAACGCUUUACAUUUAGCUGCCAGGCAGGGGCACGUGCAGAUCGUGAAAGCAUUGCUUAAUAAGGAUCCACAAUUAGCAAGGAGAACGGAUAAGAAAGGACAGACCUCAUUGCAUAUGGCUGUCAAAGGGGUUAGUUGUGAGGUUGUGAAGUUGCUUCUUCAGGCAGAUGCAGCCAUUGUGAUGCUUCCGGACAAGUUUGGUAGCACGGCAUUACACGUAGCCACCAGGAAAAAGAGAUCAGAGAUAGUGAAUGAGCUAUUAUCCCUCCGUGACACCAAUGUGAAUGCAUUAACAAGAGACCACAAAACAGCUCUUGACAUUGCAGAAGGGCUUCCUCUGUCUGAAGAAUCCUCAGAAAUAAAGGAUUGCUUGGCUCGUUACGGUGCUGUCAAAGCAAACGAACUAAACCAGCCAAGGGAUGAGCUCAGGAAAACUGUAACAGAAAUCAAGAACGAUGUCCACACCCAGCUUGAACAAGCCCGGAAAACCAACAAGAACAUGAAUGGAAUUGCGAAGGAGCUCCGAAAGCUCCACAGGGCAGGAAUCAAUAAUGCCACUAACUCGGUCACUGUGGUGGCAGUUCUUUUUGCCACAGUUGCAUUUGCGGCUAUUUUCACAGUUCCUGGAGGUGAUGAUGAUGAUGGGGUGGCCGUGAUGGUGGGCAGUAUAUCUUUCAAGGUUUUCUUCAUCUUUAAUGCCAUUGCACUCUUCACAUCACUGGCUGUUGUCCUGGUGCAGAUUACGGUUGUUAGGGGAGAGAUAAAAUCUGAGAGGAGGGUUGUGGAAGUGAUCAAUAAGUUGAUGUGGUUGGCCUCUGUUUGCACUACCGUGGCAUUUAUUGCUUCAUCUUACAUUGUAGUUGGCCGGCAUCAUAAGUGGGCUGCAAUUUUUGUUACAGUUGUAGGCGGAGUCAUAAUGGCUGGGGUCCUUGGUACUAUGACUUAUUAUGUGGUGAAGUCUAAAAGGCAUCGGAAGGUGAGGAAGAGAGAGAAGUAUUCGCAGAGUGGAAACAGCUCGUGGCGUCAUUCAGAUUUAUCUGAUUCAGAAGUAAAUCCGAUUUAUGCUCUUUGAUGGAAGAAUAUCAGAAGAAAAGUAAUGCAGUUUGUGUAAGAGAUUCUGUGCUGUAAUUACUGUAUCCGCCAAUGAGUUACAUUGCAAAUGGAUGAAUUUCUUGGGAGUAAUUGCAUUUUGGUGUGUUGAGGAAAUAUGGUGUGAUAAGAAAUGAGUUAGAGCAGAACUGUUAAUCUCUUAACUAUUAAUGGAUAUGGGAUUGACAGAUCAGGAAGAUCUAUUGGCACAGAACGGAAGGUUGGUUAGCUUCUGUUAUAAUCCUAGCUUGUUGUAGUUGCUUCUUAAGAAUACUCAACUAAGAAUGAGGAUGGAUCUAUACCCACAAAAAUAGAUAAAUAAAUACAUAUAUAUAUAUAUAUAUAUAUCAAAAUGAAAAGAGUUUUCUGUUGGUUGUAAAAUUGUAUUUAGGUAAUGGCACACAUCAGUCUCCGCCACAGAUUGAGCCGUACAAUACCUGCAUGAGUGUCUAUAUAUGUAUAAAAUGUAUGUAUUCAUUUAUGUACAUAUAUUCAGUUCCAUAUAUGUAUUCCCUAAGGUUGGGGAGGCAUUGGAAACCUAGCUUUUUCUAUUGUUUUGCCUUCUUAGAGAAAUGACUGCAUCACCCAACUUUGCCAUGAAAUUGCAUGCUUUUGCAGCAAGUUGGUUACUGUAGCUGUUGUUGUAAUUGUCAAGCUUCUCAGACUACAGAUUAACAACCACCUAUGCCAGGUCGAUGAAAAUAGAUAUUUUUGUUAAAAUCAUACAUUCAGUGAUGAUCGGCUAUGAAGAAUUUGUUUUUCCACAUUGUGUAGAUCAAUUUCAUUGCAAGGUUAUUGUCUGGAUUUUUUUGGUUGCCAA